AAGUACUCCCUCCCUCCCAUAAAAAACGAAUCUAGGACCGGAUGUGACACAUCCUAGUACUACGAAUCUGGACAUACAUAUGUCCAGAUUCAUAAUACUAGAAUGUGUCACAUCCGGUGCUAGGUUGGUUUUUUAUGGGACGAAAGGAGU
rnacentral:misc_RNA from 1 species